GACAGAGGGUGCAAACGUUGUUCGGAAUUACUGGGCAUAAAGGGCACGUAGGUGGUUCGCUAAGUUACGUGUGAAAUCCCCCGGCUCAACCGGGGAAUUGCGCGUGAUACUGGCGGACUCGAGGCGGGUAGGGGUGAGCGGAACUCCAGGUGGAGCGGUGAAAUGCGUAGAUAUCAGGAGGAACACCUGCGGUGUAGACGGCUUACUGGACCAUCACUGACGCUGAGGCACGAAAGCGUGGGUAGCAAACAGG
rnacentral:rRNA from 1 species